rnacentral:rRNA from 1 species
UCCUACGGGGCGCAGCAGUGAGGAAUAUUGGUCAAUGGUCGGGAGACUGAACCAGCCAAGCCGCGUGAGGGAUGAAGGUACAGUGUAUCGUAAACCUCUUUUGUCAGGGAACAAAGGCGGGGACGUGUCCCCGGAUGAGUGUACCUGAAGAAAAAGCAUCGGCUAACUCCGUGCCAGCAGCCGCGGUAAUACGGAGGAUGCGAGCGUUAUCCGGAUUUAUUGGGGUUAAAGGGUGCGCAGGCGGUCUGUUAAGUCAGCGGUCAAAGACCGGGGCUCAACCCCGGCCCGCCGUUGAAACUGGCAGG